AAUAGAUACCCGGGUAGUCCACGCCGUAAACGAUGAGUGCUAAGUGUUAGAGGGUUUCCGCCCUUUAGUGCUGCAGCUAACGCAUUAAGCACUCCGCCUGGGGAGUACGGUCGCAAGACUGAAACUCAAAGGAAUUGACGGGGGCCCGCACAAGCGGUGGAGCAUGUGGUUUAAUUCGAAGCAACGCGAAGAACCUUACCAGGUCUUGACAUCCUCUGACAACUCUAGAGAUAGAGCGUUCCCCUUCGGGGGACAGAGUGACAGGUGGUGCACGGUUGUCGUCAGCUCGUGUCGUGAGAUGUUGGGUUAAGUCCCGCAACGAGCGCAACCCUUGAUCUUAGUUGCCAGCAUUCAGUUGGGCACUCUAAGGUGACUGCCGGUGACAAACCGGAGGAAGGUGGGGAUGACGUCAAAUCAUCAUGCCCCUUAUGACCUGGGCUACACACGUGCUACAAUGGAUGGUACAAAGGGCUGCAAGACCGCGAGGUCAAGCCAAUCCCAUAAAACCAUUCUCAGUUCGGA
rnacentral:rRNA from 1 species